CCGCCACGGUGACUUGCAAGCAACUCACUGCACUUAGGCACUGGACUACCUGAAUUUUUAAUUCAGUGGCGGAAGGCUGCUGGGUGUAGUCAAGUACUUGACUUGUCGGUGCGUGUGUCAAAAUGGGAUUGACCACUCCAGUUUAGGAGCUGUGUACAGUCGUGUUUCAAUUUAGCAAAACCUUGGCCAGGGUAGUCCUUGUGAGGAGUCACAGGAUUGUUUGAGUUGAGCAUGAUUCGGAUGAUCCGAUCAGGGUUGACAGUUUAACCCUGACUCAUCCUAAACACUGGGGUCAAAAGGAUGAAUUAUACAGUAACCAUAUUCAUGUAGGUUCUGAGUGUUGCGAUUGUGACUCUUCGACCUAUCCGGACGUCGGGUACCAUUGCUAGAUGGUCACUUCGAUUAGUAAAGGAAUUGGUUCCUGUGCUACCGGCUUAGGUUCGAACCUGUGGGGUCACACACAUUAGAGGUUCUUAUCUGAUCUGAUGGCUGAUGUAGAAUCCUACAUAUUUGAGAC
rnacentral:lncRNA from 1 species